rnacentral:rRNA from 1 species
GACGAACGCUGGCGGCGCGCUUAACACAUGCAAGUCGAGCGAGAUCCAGGCCUUCGGGCUUGGGGACAGCGGCGAACGGGUGAGUAACACGUGGGUAAUCAACCCUCGACACUGGGAUAGCCCGGGGAAACCCGGAUUAAUACCGGAUGGCCCUUUGGAUCCUCGGAUCUGAAGGAAAAGGUAGCUUCGGCCUCCGGUCGAGGACGAGCCCGCGGCGGAUUAGCUUGUUGGUGAGGUAACGGCUCACCAAGGCGACGAUCCGUAGCUGGUCUGAGAGGACGAUCAGCCACACUGGGACUGAGACACGGCCCAGACUCCUACGGGAGGCAGCAGUGGGGAAUCUUGCGCUAAUGCGGGAAACCGUGACGCAGCGACGCCGCGUGAGGGAAGAAGGCCUUCAGGUUGUAAACCUCUUUCAGGAGGGACGAAGCCACUCGGGUGAAUAGCCCAGAGGGUGACGGUACCUCCAGAAGAAGCCCCGGCUAACUACGUGCCAGCAGCCGCGGUAACAC